rnacentral:rRNA from 1 species
UACAGGGGGUGCAAACGUUGCUCGGAAUUAUUGGGCGUAAAGCGCGCGUAGGCGGCUACCUAAGUCGGAUGUGAAAGCCCCUGGCUCAACUGGGGAAGUGCACCCGAAACUGAGUGGCUUGAAUACCAAAGAGGGUCGCGGAAUUCCCGGUGUAGAGGUGAAAUUCGUAGAUAUCGGGAGGAACACCGGUGGCGAAGGCGGCGACCUGGGUGGAUAUUGACGCGAGGCGCGAAAGCGUGGGGAGCAAACAGGAUUGAGAUACCCGUUGUAAGUCCGAG